rnacentral:lncRNA from 1 species
AGCUGCCGAGUGAGAAGUCUGACUAUCCGGAGAUGGCGGUGAGUAUAGAGAAUUUCUGCUAGGUCUCCUGUGUUUCAGCCAUCCCAGCCCAGGCACCACGACACAUUAUCAAAGGACUAUCUUGGACCUUCUCAUCCCAGCAAACAUCCAAUGGAGAAGAAUGAAGACUCCAGGCAUAUGAUCCCACUCUAGCCAUCCCAGGAGCCCCCAGCUAUCCAAACAACUACAGCUGUGGCCAAAAACAUCGUGUAUCAGGGACAAACUCUCUGCUUAUGGCUGCUCUAAUCCUUGACCUACAGAAUCAUGAAAUUUGUGGAUACGGUCAUGAUCUUGAUUUUGGCGAUGGUUUCACAGGUGUGUACCUAUGUAUGCUUAUCAAAGUGUGCACUUUAAAAUGUGCAGUUUAUUAUAUGUCAAUUAUAUAUAAAGCUGUUCAAAAAUUUAAAAAUAAUUGUUGUUUUAUACGACUGAGUUUUCAGGUGGUUUGUAAUAUGACAAUAGAUAACCUGAACAUGCACUUCCUAUGUUUUAUGUUUAUUUCUUCCUGAUAUUUAUUAAAAUAAAAAUAUUAUUAAAAUACAAACUUGGCAUAUAAAACUUUACUAGGUAUAUUAAGUACUUUUUUUACAAAAUUCAAUUUGUUUUUAUUAAAUGUCUAUAAUCUAGACUAUAGAUUAUACAGUCUAGAUUAUAAUCUAAUCUAUUAUAUAGAUAUAAUAGAUUAAAUGAGUUGGCUUUAAAAAAUCACAUUAUGGAUUAUUAUUGAUAAUAUUAGUAUUGUUUUUUACUGAAGUGAAUUUCUUACCAGAACAGAUUCUAGGCAUUUGCACAUUCACUCUUAAGUUUCUAGAUCCAAGUCCAUUCCCUAGAACAUAUUAGAUAUUCAAUAGGUGUUUGGUAAAAAUAUAAAUGAAAUAUGGAAUAAAAUCUAAACCUUUUCUUUUGUUUUAAUAUCUUUAUCUAGUAUAUCUUAGUUUAAAUGUAUUGCAAAUGAUUUCAGGACACCAGUGUCUACCUGAGCUAGAUUGCUCUCAAGUUUUAGUUUAAUAUUCAACCAAAAACGCACAUUAUAAAACAAUGUACCUUCUUUUACAAAAAGUUUGCAUGUGAUGGAGCCAGGUCCCUUUGAGUCCAGCACCUAAGUGUCUAAUCACUAAUUCAUCCUCGUGACCCCAACAGGAAAUAGCAUGACCUCAAGUCUAACUGACAGGAAUGAGACCUACAGAAGAACAAAAAAGGAAGAAAAGUUAAUAAUCUUUUUUCUGUCCAUUUUCUUCUUUAUUGUAGGUCAGAUGUACGUGAUGGUUACCAUUAUAACUACAUACUAUGAAAGAUUAAUCAGUGGAAAAAAACAAGUUAAAGACACACAAAAAACUUCAGAGAAUCAACUUCUGGUCAAAAAAGCCCUCCUUUAGCCAACUCUAAACCUCAUUCAACCAAUAUUCUCUAUAGUCUUAGAAAGCAUUCAGAAGACAUAAUAUUUUUUAAGGACUUCAAGCAGCAAAUGGCAGAAGUGACAAGAAUUGAAAAUAGAGGAAAAUUUUGUUUUGUUUAAAGAAUUCUAAUUUUAAUAAUGGGAAGUAUGCAUCCAUAUUUAUGCCAGAUUCAUAUAUAUGAAAUAUAUAUAUAUAUAUAUAUAUAUAUAUUUCAUGUAAAUGUACUUUUGCUAAUGAAAUAGGAAUUCAGGACAAUAAGAAGGUCUAGAGGAAGCACCCUUUAUGAGUAAUUGGUUUCAAUGUUCGUAUUCUUGAUCUAAACAAUAAAAAAUCAAAACUGCAUUUUCUCAAUGAAUAUGUUUUUCUCUGUUUUAAGUCUCAAGAAGUUAUGGUAGAAAUGCUUUACAGAAAAUAUUUUUCAAGCCCGGCAUGGUGGCUCAUGCCUGUAAUCCCAGCACUUUGGGAGACUGAGGCAGGCAGAUCACUUGAGGUCAGGAGUUCAAGACCAGCCUUUCCAACAUGGUGAGAACUUGUCUCUACUAAAAAUAAAAAAAAAAAUUAGCCUGGCAUGGUGAUGCACACCUGUAAUCCCAGCUACUUGGGAGGCCGAGGCACGAGAAUCACUUGAACCCAGGAGGUGGAGGUUGCAGUGGGCUGAGAUGGCACCACUGCACUACAGCCUGGGUGACAGAGCAAGUAAGACUCUGUCUCAAGGAAAAAAAAAUCUUUUUCAUAUGAUAAUACUACAGCUAGAAAGCUAGAAUUCUUUCUUACUGAUUGUUAUAUUAAGUCCUUCCUGUUCACUAAACAUUACUAAGCAUGAAAAAAAUCUUUGUGCUGUGGUAAGAAUGCUGAAAAAUGUAUAAUUCAAAUCCAGAUAUAUGAAUAACAACUUCUCACUAUAGUUUGGAAAAUAAACUAGUAUUGGUAUAUUUUUUGUUUGUUUUAAAUAAACUCAUCACUGGAGUUCUAGUAAAUUUUGCUUCUAGACCAUGUGAAAAUUUUAAAUUAGAAGCUAUAUAGCAACUAAUUUUUUAAAUUAACAUAAAAAUUCUCAUUUAAAAUGUUCUGAAAAUUUUUAAACAUAUGCAGUUGCUGUAAUUUAAUACAUUCCUCUGUCUUCUACUGUCACUUAAUACAUUUCUCUGUCUUUUCUGUAUCCCUUGUUUCCCGGCAGUAACUCAUGCUUUCAAAAUAUCAGGAAGCAAAUGAGAAAAGGAAAAAAAGACAUUCAUUGUAUAUGCUGUGAAGUAAUCCUGCCAAAGGACACUUUGGGCUCCGCAGUGAGUAUAUUUUUUCCUUAAAAAUUGCCAAUUUCUUGAUCUAUAUUCUAUGAUAAAAGUUUUAAUAUUUUGCUAAGUUAAUUAGUAUUGCCUAUUGACCAACAUGUUCUAUUUAGUGUACUGCUUCACCAAGUGCCAACAUAUACGUCUCCAGUGACUGCUGAUGGCUGAGUCUCCUUAUGUUAGUAAAUUUCUAAACAUUUUUCUUAGUACAUGGAGUAACGUGUUAUGUUGAUCAAUGUUUGAUGACACUUAAAUGUAACUACAAUGCAGUAAUUCGAAGGUAAGAAAAAGUUGCCAUGACUCUCAUUUCUUUGAAAUUGUGUACAAUGAAAGGCUUCUCAGCAUGAUACCCCAACUAAAAUUUAGGCGUAUGACAGCACUUAUAAGUAAAUCCAUUUUAUUUGAGUAAAUAUUGAGUUUCAUUUACCUUUUAGCAAAUUCCGAAGUAGCAUCUCCAUAAAUUUAAACUGAUUUUACUUAUUGAGUCCUAUUACUAACUUUAAAAGACAAUCUACUUUGGAUCAUUUUGAGCAUCACAUAUUGCUUACGUAAAAUAAGUUUAAAUCUGAGUCAAUAAUGAUACUAAGCAAACAAAUAAAAUCAUUGGUCACUGUAUUAAGUCUGUUUUCAUGCUGUUGAUAAAGACAUACCCAUGACUGGGCAAUUUACAAAAGAAAUGUUUAAUUGGACUUACAGUUCCACGUGUGGCUGGGGAAGCCUCACAAUCAUGGUGGAAGGCGAAAGGCACAUCUCACAUGAUAGCAGACAAGGGAAAAGAGCUUGUGCUGGGGAACUCCUUUUUUAAAACCAUCAGAUCUCGUGACACUUAUCUACUAUCAGCACGGGAAAGACCUUCCCCCAUGAUUCAAUUACCUUCCACCAGUCCCUCACAUAAUAUAUGAGAAUUCAAGAUGAGAUUUGGGUGGGGACACAGCAAAACCAUAUCAGUCACCUUUGGAGAAUACUAGAGAAUUAACUAACUAUUCUGAAAAUCAGUAAUUAAAGGGAAAGAAGCAAACAUUUUUUCUGUCUUUCCAUAAAAAAUUGUACUUUGAACAACCAAAUGGGUGAUAAUGAAAGAAAGUUCCUCUUUAUAAAAGUAACUGAAGAGGCCAGGCGUGGUGGCUCAUGCCUGUAAUCCCAGCACUUUGGGAGGCCGUGAUGGGCAGAUCACUUGAGCCCAGAAGUUUGAGACCAGCCUGUGCAACAUAUCUAGACCCUGUCUUUAAAAAGAAAGAAAAAAUUUAAAACAGUAACUGAGCAUCAGCUAUUGUGGGCACACUGCCUAUGGGUAGCCCUGCUCCACAAGGAGCAGUUAAAAAAAAAAGUAACUCAGUAGAUAAAUGAGAAAGGAAUGAUAAUUACAAUAACAAGAUGUGGCAAUCCUGAUUUAAUUAAUGAAUCUAAGCAAAAAGCAAUGGCUUUGAAUAGAACACAGAAAAGAAACAACUAAAUAUUAUGUGCCUCCUGGUUGAAAUAUACACAAUUAUCUAUGAUUUCAUCUUUUGAACCUGAAUCUGAUCAAGCCUCUAGAUCUAUUCAUCAAUUUAUAUAAAACACAAGAGACACAGAAAAGACAAAGGAAUGUACUAAACUACAGCAUGAGGUACAAUCAAGCAAAAUUCAUACCAUGGAAACUAUAGAACAAACAAUUUAGUUUCUUGCAGAAAUAAAUUGCAAGGGAAAAAUAAAGACAUGGUUAAAGACACUUCGGAGAUAUGCUUACCAGAUGCAAUUUAUGGAUGUGUAUUAGCGUUCUCCAGAGAAACAGAACCAAGAGGAUAUAUAUGGGUAUAUAAGAGGGAAUUUGUUAUGGAAGCCAGCUCACAUGAUUAUGGAGGGUGAGAAGUUCCACAACAUCCCAUCUGCAAGCUGUACAACCAAGGAAGCCAAUGUUGUAAUUCAGUCUGAGUCCGAAGGCCAGAGAAACUGGGGCCAUUGGUGUAAUCUUGGAGUCUGAAAGCUCAAUGAAGUCAGGAGAAGAUGGAUGUCCCAGCCCCAAGAGGGAGAGAAUUUGCCCUUCUCUUUUUAUUCUAUUGGAACCCUUAACAGAUUGGAUGAUGCCUGUCCAUAUUGAUGAGGGUGGUUCUUCUGUACUCAGUUUACUGCUUCAAAUGCUAGUCUCUUCUGAAAAUUCUCUCACAGACCCACCCAGAAAUGUUUUACCAGCUAUCUGGCUAUCCCUUAACCCAGUCAAGUUGACACAUAAAAUUAACCAUCACAGAAUGUUAUUUGGAUUCAGAUUUUAAUCAACAAAGUGUGAAAAAGUAAUAAGAUUAUUGGAGAAAUUUGUGUGUUGGCUGGAUAUUUAAUGAUGACAAGAAAGUUUUCAUUUUUGCAGGUGUGCUAAUGGUAUUGUGGGUUUUGUUGAGUCUUUAUCUUCUAAAAAUACUUCCUAAAAUAGUUACAGAAGAAAAGAUUUAUAAUCUGAAAUUUGCUUCCAAAUUAUCCAAGAGUCUGGUGUUGGGGUUGGGGACUGAGUGGAAGUACAGACAAGGCAAUCUUGGCCAUGGGUUCAUGCCCAAAUUUCUUAUUCUUAUUAUAAGGACACCAAUCAGAUUAGAUCAUGGACCACUCUAAUGGCCUGAUUUUAACUUAAUCACCUUUAAAGUUCUCUUUCCAAAUACAGUCACAUUCUGAGGUACUGGGGGUUAAGGCAUUAGUGGGAAUUUGCAGGGACAUAAUUCAGUUCAUAACAAGUCCAUUCAGAAUCUUGCUCUGUUUAUUUGUGAUAUCAAUGCCAUAUAAACUGCUUAAAAUGGUUACCUUCAAUAUUGGCUCAAAAGCUAAACUUUGUAAGCUCCUGGCAUUAAUCACCAUGCUAUACUUUGCAAAGUCCACAGCCAAACAAUCCUAACCACUCCUUCACUUUCAGACUAAUUCUAUAGUUCUAUUUUCUCCAAUAUGGUAGUCACACAUGAACUAGUAAACACUUGAAAUGUGGCUGAUCCAAACUGAGAUGUGUUGUAAGUAUACAUUACACUGGAUUUCAAAGACUUAGCAAGAAAAAAAGAAAGAUAUCUCGUUACUAGUUUUUGUAUUGAUUACAUGUUGAAAUGAUAGUUUGGAUAUACUAAAUUAGAUUAUUAAAGUUAAUUUCAGCUGUUCCUUCUUCCUUAAAAAAUAUGGCUAGUAAAUAACUUUAAAAUUAUGUGCUCACUUUAUAUUUCUAUUGGAUGGCACUUUUCAAAAGUACAGGUACCUGUCAUUUGACCUAAGAUUCGCUUCAAAGACUUUCUUUGACUUCCAAUUUAUAACUCUCCCCAAUAAUCCCUUUCCUUUUUGCACCACACAUUUAAUAACCUAGGUGCAGAAUUCUAGCGCUAUAUGCAGUCCUUAAUUCACAUUUCAAACCUGAAGAACAUGUGCCUACUUCUCAGGCAGACAACAUGUAAUGCUAACUGAAAAAAUGUCACUGAAAUUU